rnacentral:rRNA from 1 species
CCUACGGGUGGCAGCAGUGGGGAAUAUUGCGCAAUGGGCGAAAGCCUGACGCAGCGAAGCCGCGUGAGGGAUGAAGGUCUUCGGAUCGUAAACCUCUGUCAACAUGGAAAAACGGUCACUGUGCUAAUCAGCAGUGAAUUGACGGUACCUGCAAAGGAAGGCCCGGCUAACUCCGUGCCAGCAGCCGCGGGAAUGCGGAGGGUGCGAGCGUUAAUCGGAAUUGCUGGGUGUAAAGCGCUCGUAGGCGUUAAGGCAAGUCAAGGGUGAAAUCCCCUGGCUCAACGGUGGAAUUGCCUUUGAAACUGGCAGACUUGAGUGUGGGAGAGGAUGGUGGAAUUCGAGGUGUAGGAGUGAAAUGCGUAGAUAUCUGGAGGAACAGCAGUGGCGAAGGCGACUAUCUGGCACAUAACUGACGCUGAGGAGCGAAAGUGUGGGUAGCAAACAGGAUUAGAUACCCGAGUAGUC